rnacentral:rRNA from 1 species
GAUGAACGCUGGCGGCGUGCCUAAUACAUGCAAGUCGAGCGAACAGACGAGGAGCUUGCUCCUCUGACGUUAGCGGCGGACGGGUGAGUAACACGUGGAUAACCUACCUAUAAGACUGGGAUAACUUCGGGAAACCGGAGCUAAUACCGGAUAAUAUAUUGAACCGCAUGGUUCAAUAGUGAAAGACGGUUUUGCUGUCACUUCUAGAUGGAUCCGCGCCGCAUUAGCUAGUUGGUAAGGUAACGGCUUACCAAGGCAACGAUGCGUAGCCGACCUGAGAGGGUGAUAGGCCACACGGGAACUGAGACACGGUCCAGACUCCUAAGGGAGGCAGCAGUAGGGAAUCUUCCGCAAUGGGCGAAAGCAUGACGGAGCAACGCCGCGUGAGUGAUGAAGGUCUUCGGAUCGUAAAACUCUGUUAUUAGGGAAGAACAAAUGUGUAAGUAACUAUGCACGUCUUGACGGUACCUAAUCAGAAAGCCACGGCUAACUACGUG